rnacentral:lncRNA from 1 species
AAAAAUCAAGCGUCUGGUCAUCCCUCAGCUUCCGGCCACAGUAGAUCAGAUCGAUGAGCUCGGGGUCCGGGACGGACUCCUGCAGCUUGCCGGUGAUCAGCUGCUUGAGGUGGGAGAUGCUGCACCCGCCCAGGGGGCACUCCCCGAGCUCCGUCUCGGGUAAGCGCAAGAUGGAUUUGGGGGCCAGAGGCUGGUCCGCCAGCUUCACCGCGAU